rnacentral:lncRNA from 1 species
AUAUUAUAAUAAAGAAUGGACAAAUUUCCAAAGUCAGAAGCAUGCGGUUUCAUCCUUCUCUUCAAUCGACAAAGCUGUUUUUUUCCAACAGCUUUUAAUACAAGAGUCACGCGUCCCUCCAGGCUCAUUCAUCUACGACUUCUUGAAGGCUGAAGCUAGCUGUUGCAGGCAUUUGAUUGAAUACCGUGAUUGCGUAAUGCUCAUUUUUUCCCAUCUUUCUUGUGUUCAUUCAAUUAUUN